GACGAACGCUGGCGGCGUGCUUAACACAUGCAAGUCGAACGAUGACGACCGAGCUUGCUCGGUCUGAUUAGUGGCGAACGGGUGAGUAACACGUGAGCAACCUGCCCUUCACUCUGGGAUAACCUCGGGAAAUCGGGGCUAAUACCGGAUAUGAGCUCCUGUCGCAUGGCGGGUGUUGGAAAGUUUUUCGGUGAAGGAUGGGCUCGCGGCCUAUCAGUUUGUUGGUGAGGUAGUGGCUCACCAAGGCGAUGACGGGUAGCCGGCCUGAGAGGGCGACCGGCCACACUGGGACUGAGACACGGCCCAGACUCCUACGGGAGGCAGCAGUGGGGAAUAUUGCACAAUGGGCGAAAGCCUGAUGCAGCGACGCCGCGUGAGGGAUGACGGCCUUCGGGUUGUAAACCUCUUUCAGCAGGGAAGAAGCGAAAGUGACGGUACCUGCAGAAGAAGCACCGGCUAACUACGUGC
rnacentral:rRNA from 1 species